CGUGUACGUACAAGCAGUGGGAGCACCCUUUGGGUGUGACUGCGUACCUUUUGUAUAAUGGGUCAGCGACUUAUAUUCUGUAGCAAGGUUAACCGAAUAGGGGAGCCGGAGGGAAACCGAGUCUUAACCGGGCGUUAAGUUGCAGGGUAUAGACCCGAAACCCGGUGAUCUAGCCAUGGGCAGGUUGAAGGUUGGGUAACACUAACUGGAGGACCGAACCGACUAAUGUUGAAAAAUUAGCGGAUGACCUGUGGCU
rnacentral:rRNA from 2 species